rnacentral:lncRNA from 1 species
AAAAGUUUCUUCAUUCUAGUUUUUAGUUUGUAGAAAUUGGCUAGUCCUUUUCAAUAGUUUCCUCCACCCUCCUCCUCUCUCUCCUGUUCCCUCUCGGACUCUGAGUAUCCCGCCCUCUCCUUCCUUUCCUCCACCCUGUGUUUAACAGAAGGAAAGGAGGGAGCCAAUGACUGAACCAGUGAUAACAAUGGAGGUUUGGGGUUUAGGUAGUACCAUCAACCCACCACAGAGGUACAACAAGUUGGAAGAUCUUGAUAAUCCUCAGCUGCAACCAUGAGCAACAGUGCAGUUUGCAAGGGAGCCAUGGGAUUUUCUCAUUAUAACUACAGAAAACAGCACAUUAGAGGACAUUAGAAAACAGCUUCGAUGCUGUUUCAUGGACAAAAAUGCCACAUAAAACAGCACAUUAGAGGAGCAUGGGGGCAUUCACAUGUUUGUGUUUGACCCAGGUGGAUUGAAGGCUAUUUUGAGCUGCAGGUGAGGUUGUCUUCAUCAUUGUUCUUCAACCAGUUGGAAUCCCGAUGAAACCUUGUUUGCAGCAACCACUGUUAUUCACCUUGGGGACAAGGUGAAUCUUUAGGGGGUAGAGUAUUAAUAUGUAACCCCCAUAGUUAGUUGAAUAAUUAGAGAGUUAGUUACUUAGUUAGUUAGGGGCUGAGUUAGUUAGACAAACAAGGCAUGUUGCCUAAACAAGAAAAGGGGUUGAGAGGGAGAUUCUAUCUUGUGAUUUGAGAGGGAAUUCAGAUUGUUGUGGGAGAGUUCAGGCCUCUCAAAAGUCCUGGGAAUCAUUUGUACACUUUUCUGUUAAUAGAAGCUUUUCUCUCUAAUUCUGAUCUAGUUUCUAUGCAAAACUUCAAGAAAGUGGGC